AGAGUUUGAUCAUGGCUCAGAGCGAACGCUGGCGGCAGGCUUAACACAUGCAAGUCGAGCGGGCACCUUCGGGUGUCAGCGGCAGACGGGUGAGUAACACGUGGGAACGUGCCCAUCGGUUCGGAACAACCCAGGGAAACUUGGGCUAAUACCGGAUACGACCUUACGGUGAAAGAUUUAUCGCCGAUGGAUCGGCCCGCGUCUGAUUAGCUUGUUGGUGAGGUAACGGCUCACCAAGGCGACGAUCAGUAGCUGGUCUGAGAGGAUGAUCAGCCACACUGGGACUGAGACACGGCCCAGACUCCUACGGGAGGCAGCAGUGGGGAAUCUUGCGCAAUGCGCGAAAGCGUGACGCAGCAACGCCGCGUGGAGGAAGACGGUCCUCGGAUUGUAAACUCCUUUCAGUUGGGACGAAGCUUAACGGGUUAAUAGCCCGGUGAAGUGACGGUACCUUCAGAAGAAGCCCCGGCUAACUUCGUGCCAGCAGCGGCGGUAAUUC
rnacentral:rRNA from 1 species